UACAGGGGGGGCAAGCGUUGUUCGGAAUUACUGGGCGUAAAGGGUCUGUAGGUGGCUUGCUAAGUCAGACGUGAAAGCCCCCAGCUCAACUGGGGAAGUGCCUCGGAUACUGGAUGGCUCGAGGGAGGUAGGGGCAGGGGGAACUUCUGGUGGAGCGGUGAAAUGCGUUGAUAUCAGAAGGAACGCCGGUGGCGAAAGCGCCCUGCUGGAUCUCUACUGACGCUGAGGCGCGAAAGCCAGGGGAGCGAACGGG
rnacentral:rRNA from 1 species